AGAAUCGGAAACGGGCCGGGUUAUGACGUCGCCUUCACACGGCGAAGAUCUCGUGUUCGAAUCACGACGAGCCCA
rnacentral:tRNA from 1 species